GAUUGGUUUUGGCAGUUAAACAAAGCCCGAUAACAUAUGGAGACCAUCUGCCUUUUAAGCAGUGGGUCCGGGGUUCGAAUCCCCGCCGGAUCACCA
rnacentral:tRNA from 1 species